rnacentral:tRNA from 3 species
AGUCUUAUAUUCAAUAAUGAUAUUAAAUUGCAAAUUUAAUGGAAAAGUAAACUUUUAAGGCUU